GAUGAACGCUGGCGGCGUGCCUAAUACAUGCAAGUCGAGCGAACAGACGAGGAGCUUGCUCCUCUGACGUUAGCGGCGGACGGGUGAGUAACACGUGGAUAACCUACCUAUAAGACUGGUAUAACUUCGGGAAACCGGAGCUAAUACCGGAUAAUAUAUUGAACCGCAUGGUUCAAUAGUGAAAGACGGUUUUGCUGUCACUUAUAGAUGGAUCCGCGCCGCAUUAGCUAGUUGGUAAGGUAACGGCUUACCAAGGCGACGAUGCGUAGCCGACCUGAGAGGGUGAUCGGCCACACUGGAACUGAGACACGGUCCAGACUCCUACGGGAGGCAGAAGUAGGGAAUCUUCCGCAAUGGGCGAAAGCCUGACGGAGCAACGCCGCGUGAGUGAUGAAGGUCUUCGGAUCGUAAAACUCUGUUAUUAGGGAAGAACAAAUGUGUAAGUAACUAUGCACGUCUUGACGGUACCUAAUCAGAAAGCCACGGCUAACUACGUG
rnacentral:rRNA from 1 species